UUCAACUCCCUCUUAGAGGCCGGAGUCAUUGUUCCAUGUCCUGACUCGCCGACUCAGCUGUUCUGUGUUCCGGCCCUCUUCCAUGUCACCUGUCACGGCUGUCACCGUUGUCUGUAUUUUUCUGUCUUGUCUUGCCUGUACCAAGUAGGCUGUGCGGCCCUGUGGACUGAAGCCCCGCCUACUUCCUGGUUUCGGUGGAGCUCUGUCAGGCUCACUACAGGUCCACCCAUUGGUCCACCCUGUCCCAGCGCAUCCAAUGGCAUGUCGCCACCUCAGCCUUACCACCAGCUCUUAAGGAGAGCCCACCAGUGGCUCGGGGCAGCUCGUCAUGGCAGGUUGACUUGUGUGCCUUCUGUGUUUGUAUUUGAGUGCAACUGAGUCAAGUACUGUGUUUUGGUUCUUGUGUGUUUUUACCAGCACGGGGCUGGCAAAAAGGGGGGAGUUAGGGUAAGAGUCGGUACUGAUUCACCACACGUAGUUUUGUGCCUGUUAGCUUCAUAGGUGUAGUGGGUGCUGUGCUCUUUGUGUUUUUUGGUAAGCGCCUACUGUUUGUUUAAAUAUAAUAUUCAGGCAUAGUCCUCCUUUUGGGGAUCUCUUUUAUUUAACUUGGUUUGACUUUUUCACAGCACCCUUAUCCACUCUCCUUUUGUUUGUUGUUACCUGCCUGUCUACCUCUGGUUGCAAAUAAACACUACCUUUUUACAACCGACCAGGUUCUGCCCAUAUGUUUAUGGUCCCCUCACCCCUAGACCACCCGGGGGUUGUAACAUAUAUGGGGGCUCGUCCGGGAUCCCUUUCUAGAGGAAUCCCAAUUGGCAGAGAUUGGUCGCGUAGUCAAUUUGUGUGACUAGCCGGAGCGGAGUACGGUAAUGAGGUGCCGCUUGCCUGAGUGAGGGACUCAUGGCUGCUGCCCAGUUUGACCUUGAAGCUUUCCUAAGCCAGCCCUCAGUGGAGCAGUUUAAUGUGUGUCGGAAAGAUGAUUUGCUCCAGUUAGCAGCCCACUUUGGCAUCUCGGUUCCCAAAACUAUUCUUAAAAGGGUGUUAAAACCUAUGCUAUCGUUAGCAUUAGUCAAGAGGGGGAUAAUUGUAGUGCCAGAGCUGCCAGAGAAAGAGCUCAUGUUGCUGGUUCAGAUGCCAAAGGGGAGGUCACGCCUACCCCUGACCAUGCUACAGACGUAUCGGAUACCGACAGAGCAGGUGAGAGGCCUGCGACUCCUCUCACCCUGCCCAGGUUUGAUCCUUCCUCUGUUAGUAGUGCUCAAACGCUAGGAGGAGCGCGGCUAAAGGUUCGCCUUGCCCGCCUCCAGUAUGACGCACAAGACAGGGAACGCCAGAUGCAUUUCCAACUCGAAGUACGGCGAAUGGAGAUUGAGGCUGACCAGGCGGUGCGCCUGCGGACACUAGAGCUCGAGAGCGCCAACGCAGCCAUGGCUGGUGGGGCCGUGGGUUCUGGUGGUACAGCUUCUCUCCCCCACUCAUCCAAAUUGGACUCGGUAAGUCCAGGAUUUGAUGCAAAAAUAUUGCUUUAGUACCUUUCUUCCGAGAAGCUGAAGUGGACUCGUACUUUCAGGUUUUUGAGCGAAUAGCCUUGGCAUUAAAAUGGCCGUCUGAGGUCUGGUCUUUAUUGUUGCAGUGCAAGCUACAAGGCAAAGCAGAGGAGGCUAUCGCUUCCCUUUCUGUAGAGGAUAGUACAGACUAUGAGACAGUGAAAUCAGCAAUCUUGCGAAUUUAUGAGCUUGUGCCCGAAGCUUACCGACAAAAGUUCCGGUCACAUAAGAAACCAGCAACGUUACACAGAGUUUGCCCGAGAGAAACCAUACUCUUUGACCGGUGGCUUGAGUCAUCUAGUGUAGCUGGGUUCACUUAGGGAACUUUGCUUAGUAGAGGAGCUUAAAGCUUAAAUGAGCUUAAAUGAACAAAAAGUGUUAACGUUAUCUGCUGCAGCUACGUUAGCGGAUGAGUACAUGCUAAUCCACAAACCAGCCUUUCCUCAGGUUGUAGACAGUGCCCGCCGCGGAAAUCUAAACCAGUCUAAUCCUCCUAGGCACCCCAGUCUGAAGGAAGAAGAGUGCCGUUGUUUUUAUUGUCAUAAGAGUGGACAUGUUAUUGCUGAUUGUAUGACUUUGAAACGCAAAGAUCAGCUGUCAUCGCAUGUGCAUCAGCCCAAAGGUGUCGGGUUAAAUAACGAUUUGCGAAGCCCUAAACUAAACUGUGACAACCAAAGUGAGGUUGAUUCCUGUUUUUGCCCAUUUGUACUCGAAGCCCUUAUUUCACUGACAGGAUUGCCAGCAGACCAGCAGUCUGGUAAAGUGCUACGAGACACCGCCUGUUCCCAAUCAGUGGUGUUGGCUUCUGCGUUACCCUUUUCAGCUGAAUCCACUUGUGGAUUCGCGUCCGUCUUAAGAGGCAUUGAAAUGGGAUAUGUGCCUCGGCCUGUGCAUAAGGUACAAAUCUAGUCUGAUCUCGUCAAUGGGUUUUUCCCAGUAGCAGUGUGUGAUGAACUUCCCAUACAGGGUAUUGUGCUGCUCCUGGGAAAUGACAUAGCCGGGGGUAAUGUUACUCCAACUUUGGAAGUGUGCGAUGUACCAAGGGUUCCUGGCUGCAGCACAGAGUUACCCAAAGUAUUUCCGGCCUGUGUCGUCACUCGUGCGCAGGCACGCCAGUUGGCGUUCGAGUCGGAUAUUUCGCUAGCUGAUACAGUGUUUUGUGAGCCUUUUCAGACCGCUGAUCCAACUCCAGUGAAGGAGCCAGCGUUGGUGGAGUGCGAGACCGAAACGUCCCCUUCCUCCCCACCACUGCCAGCUACAAGAGAACGCUUGGCCGUGGCUCAGAGAGAGGAUCCAACCUUACGGGCCUGCUUCAGGAAUGUGAAAACAGGUUGUAGCUGCACUUCCGAGAGAAGCAACGGGUCCACUACACCGAC